rnacentral:lncRNA from 1 species
UUUUAGAAAUCUAAAGAACAAAAACUACAAAAAUAAUAAGCUUAAUUUUUUUAACACCCCGAGGUUCACAAGCCGAACAAAUCGAUUUCGAAGUGUCCUUGGAGUUGGUGGUACCGACGGCGACGAGUGUUAAAACUGAACCAAUCGAUCGUCAUCUUCUAUCUUUUAUCGUUUUGACACAUUUUCCUCUAUUUUUCUCUCAAAUUCUUCUUUCGGCUCCAGGCUCUAAUAGGUCGAUAAACCUAUAAAAACUAAAAAAAAAAAUCGAAGUCUAACUUAUUUAAGGACAUAUUUGCCGCCUCAUCAAGUCAAAAUGUCUUUUCUUUACUUGUUCUCUUCACUUUCUCCUUUAGGAACUUCUUUUAAUCCACCUCACCAAGUCCAAUUUCACCACAUAUUGAGCAAUGAAUUAUGGGUCUCUCUUAUCAUAGUCCUUUCACUUCAUGCUUCUUCUUCUUCUUUUUGUUGGCA